rnacentral:rRNA from 1 species
UUUGCAAGAAAGAAACUCAAAGGAACUGACGGGGGUCCACACAAAGCGGUGGAGCAUGUGGUUUAGUUAUAUGAUACGAGAGGUACCUUACCUUCGCUCGACUGGUUAGUGGGAUUGUGAGAAAUCACGGGUUCGUUCGGGACGAUAAUCAAGGUGUUGCAUGGUUGUCGUCAGCUCGUGCCGUGAGGUGUUGGGUUAAGUCCCGAAACAAACGCAACCCCUGGGUUUAGUUCCCAGCACGUAGAGGUGGGGACUUUAGACCGACUGCCGGCGUAAGCCGCGAGGAAGGUGGGGAAGACGUCAAAUCAUCAUGGCCUUUAUGUCCAGGGCUACACACGUGCUACAAUGGUCAGUACAGAGGGUAGCGAAGCCGCGAGGUGGAGCCAAUCUGUUAAAGCUGAUCGUAGUUCGGAUCGGAGUCCGCAACUCGACUCCAUGAAGUUGGAAUCGUUAGUAAUCGCGCAUCAGCCAUGGCGCGGUGAAUACGUUCCCGGACCUUGUACACACCGCCCGUC